GCUUGGCCCUAAACCUCAGUAGUUAGAUAACAAAACUACUCGCCAGAAUACUACAAGCAACAGCUUAAAACUCAAAGGACUUGACGGUGCUUUACAUCCCCCUAGAGGAGCCUGUUCCGUAAUCGAUAAACCCCGAUCCACCCCACCCUCUCUUGCUCAGCCUAUAUACCGCCAUCUUCAGCAAACCCUAAUGAAGGCUACAAAGUGAGCGCAAACGCCACUGCCGCGAAUACGUUAGGUCAAGGUGUAGCCCAUGAGACGGUAAAAAAUGGGCUACAUUUUCUAUUUCAGAAAACCCCACGAAAACCCUUAUGAAACUUAAGGGUCCAAGGAGGAUUUAGCAGUAAAUUAAGAAUAGAGUGCUUAAUUGAACCAGGCCAUAAAGCGCG
rnacentral:rRNA from 1 species